CCUACGGGUGGCAGCAGUAGGGAAUCUUCCACAAUGGGCGAAAGCCUGAUGGAGCAACGCCGCGUGGGUGAAGAAGGUCUUCGGAUCGUAAAACCCUGUUGUUAGAGAAGAAAGUGCGUGAGAGUAACUGUUUACGUUUCGACGGUAUCUAACCAGAAAGCCACGGCUAACUACGUCCCAGCAGCCGCGGUAAUACGUAGGUGGCAAGCGUUACCCGGAUUUAUUGGGCGUAAAGGGAACGCAGGCGGUCUUUUAAGUCUGAUGUGAAAGCCUUCGGCUUAACCGGGGUAGUGCAUUGGAAACUGGGGGACUUGAGGGCAGAAGAGGAGAGUGGAACUCCAUGUGUAGCGGUGAAAUGCGUAGAUAUAUGGAAGAACACCAGUGGCGAAGGCGGCUCUCUGGUCUGUAACUGACGCUGAGGUUCGAAAGCGUGGGUAGCAAACAGGAUUAGAUACCCCAGUAGUC
rnacentral:rRNA from 1 species